GACAAGCUCGCCUGUUCUGGGAGAAGGCGGGGGAGCAGCGCCGGGAGCCCCGGGAGCUGGGCCGCGGUAGGAAAGUAAGAUGGGGCGCCAUGGGACGCUUCUGAGCAGGGGAAGAACGGGAUGGGUGAACGCUUGAACCGCAAGUAAGGGCAGAAGCGGCAGAAACCAUGAACAAAGCCCUGGGCUGCGCUGCCUGUCAUGGGGAACACCCAGCAACCGCCAGUCACCUGUCAAAAACUACGCCAGCUUGUCAUCUUAAAAAACAGGAAGUCAAGGCCAUGGCUAUUGGGAGAGAAAACAUUUCAAUAACAAGAAAAGGAAAAAGAAUACCCACGACCCGCAAUUCAGAGACAACCAUUAUCAAAACAACAUUUUCAUGUAUGUUUUUUCCUGUCCUUUAUGUAGUUGUGUGUGGUUUUUUUUUUUUUUGGCUGUAGGUUUUAUUUGUAUCAAGGUUGUACAUACACAUAACUCAAUGAGUCAAAUUUUCUAAAAACAGAAAUCUCCACUUCAUUCUCUCUUUCCACCUCCCCUUCCCAGAGACACCCACUUUGACCUCUUUUAACUGGUUGUUUGAUAUUUAACUCCAUUUCCCUAAAU